GGAAAGUUAGCUCAGUUGGUCAGAGCACUCGGCUCAUAACCGAUCGGUCCUGGGUUCGAGUCCCAGACUUUCCA
rnacentral:tRNA from 1 species